GCUGUCCCCCCGUCCCCAUCCACCCGGCUCCCUGCAGAGCUGUGUGCGUUUUUGGAGGCUCUGGAGCAGCGCUCCGCUGAGGCCUCGCCGGUGCAGAGAGCAGCGAGCGGGGAACUCCGCAAUCCACGUAAACACCUCAAGUGCCCACGGGAAUGUCACCCGUCCAUAAAGCACCUCAAAUGGCCAUACAGUUCACUGUAGCUGUUGGGAGAUUCUGUAAAAUCUUCACUUUCUUGUGGGAGCUUCUGUUCAGAACUGUCAACGGAACAUCAUCCCCCACGCUGAAAUAGAUCUUUACUCAUCCUGCGGGAUGCUAAUUCAAAAUACUCAAUAUCAUUUUGGCUCAUACUGGCAGCAAAGAGAAGCAUGAGUGAAGGAGGGGGUUUAUGGUUUGGUGUGUGUGAGCGCUGGAAGGAGCUGCACUCGAAUGUGUUUGCUCUGUGAAGUUUUGCUGUGUGUAAAAUGGCAGUGCUGGGAGGCCCCACAGGGAAUUCCAAUUCCAAUUGAAUUCGAAUUCCAAUUAGCCAUCAUUAGGUCCUUUUGCCUUGUGAUGGGCUCCAGAAAAGCAUCAGAGUGCAGGGAAACAAAUGACUCCAAACUUAAUUAUACAACCAACCCUCGCUGUUUUGGGGUUGGAAAAUGGAAAUAUUCCUUUAGCGUUGAUGCAGUGAUCUUUGCCCUUUGUUAAGGAAUGAAUGGCCACGGAAAUGAGAGUUAAAUCCAACUUUUCUCCUGCUAAAUAUUUCCCAACACAAUUCACUGAAGCGAGAGCAGAAAUUCUACAGGCUUCUAGAACUGAAAACACUCUGCCAGGAUAAGCUCCCCUUAAUAAAGCCCUGGGAUUCUGGCUGUGUGGUGCUGGAAUUCAGGAAAAUCAGCUGAUUUCCAACGAGCUGGGACAGCUCUCUAGUGUAUCCUGCCCACUCGUUCUCAUGGCUCGUUUCCCUGGAAUUCUGGUGUGCAUCAUUUGUGUAGUUCCAUCAGGAGGGUUCAUAUUCCUUACUCUCCCCGGAGAACAGAUGAAAUAAUUACAGUUUGCUUCUGAGCAACAUCCAACUUCAGUCUGAGAUCCUGAGGACUUGGAGAACUUCUGCUGCUGUGGAUCAUUUUGUGCUCAGCUUUAGUUUUUUUCUCUCCUCACACCGAGUCCCCACGCUUCUGAUCUUGCUGUUAUUAAAAUGUGAUGGGAAUGAGAGAUUUUCCAGCACUUCACUGAGAGGCUGAGGUGUUCCAGCAUUUGUCAGGAGUGCUUUUCAUCCCUGAGUGCCUGCAUGGAUCUCCCUAAGCACGGGGAACUUCUGGGAUCAUCUUCCCCAUUGUGAAGACCAGCCAUGAGCAAGAGGAGACAGAUUGAUCCUCAGAGUCCUGGAAUAUCUUCCGCUCUCCUUUUUCUUCCAGGGCUGUUGACCUGCAGCUGACAAAAGAGACAAAACCAAAACAGCAGAGACAAAACCCGUGCAAAUCCACCCCGCAGGCUGGAGGUGCAAUGUUUCCAAAACUGUCCAGGGAAGCCAAUGGUUAGUUGUAAAUUUGUCAACGUAAAACAAGGCAAUCGAAAUAAAAAGCAAAUAAAAGACUUCAAACUUCA